rnacentral:sRNA from 1 species
GAUUACACUCGUAUAUCCCUCCCACCACAGUCUCCAACAUUCGUCGGCUUCAAUACUUUACAGCAGGCGGUUUUUCCGAUGAAUUGUGACGGAAAACCGAUUCUUCCCAAAGAUGAUAAGGGAAAAACUGUCAGUUUUGUCGAAAAAUUGAAAAGUUUCACCCUAAAAAUCUCAAAAUUUCCCCCCGAAAAGGUCCAAAUUCAACCUAAAAUCUCAAAUUUUCACGGAAAAUUUCCCAAUUUCCCUCUAAAAACCACAUUUUUUCACUGAAAACCCAGAAAAUUUCCCCUAAAAAUAGGAAUUUUUCACUAAAAACUCGCAAUUUUCUCAGAAAAAAGCAAAUUUUAACCUGAAAAUAUUAAAAUUUACCCCCCUAAAAGUCGAAUUUUUCACUGAAAAAGUGUAAAUUUUUCCCUAAAAAUCUAGGGUUUCAGCUGAAAAAUUUGUGUAAAAAAAUUUAAUUUUACCGAAAAAUUGACCUUAAAAUCUGAAAUUCCAAUUUUUUUAAUCUAAAAAACCCAAAUUUUCACUGAAAAAAUUGAAAUUUCCCCCUGAAAAUUACAGUUUUCAAGUUUAAAAUUAAAUAAAAAAGCCUAAAAUUCCCAAUUUUUGAGUUAAAAAUUUUGAAAUUUAUAAAUUUAUCUAAAAAAUUUAAAUUUUCAUUAAAAAAUACCAAAUUUUUACCACCUGAAAAAGCUGAAAACUUCCCUCAAAAUGGUCCAAAUUCAACCUAAAAUCUCAAAUUUCUCACCUACAAAACUCAAAAAUUUACCACAAAUUCUCAAAUUUCCCCCUAAAACCACAAUUUUUCUGUAAAAAAAAAAGAAAUUUUCACCAUCAAAAAAAUUUUGAAAUUAACCUAAAAAACUCGCAUUUUUUCAUUGAAAAUGUCGAUUUUUCACCUAAAAACUCCAAAUUUUCCGCCUAAAAAGCUCAAUUUUCCACCAAAAAUACCGAAUUUUUCCCAUUAAAAUGUAGAUUUUUCACCGAAAAAGCUAAAAACUUCCCCCUCACGGUCUCCUCGGGUGGAAAUUGCGAUAGGGCGCGCUUGCUGCACCUUCAUUGCGUCCAUCGAUAUUUCACCAUUGAUAAGUGAUUUCCCUCGUUUUUUAUUAGUUUUUCGCCGAUUUUUCUAUUUCAAAAUUAGUAACAAUUAUAAAGUAGACUGAAACAAAAGUGGAGAAACAAAAAUUAUCGGAAACCGUUCGGUGGAAAUGCAUAACGAACUGUUUGAAAAUAUCAACUGAAUUUUCGGAUUUUUUGAAAUUAAUAUUUUAUUUAAGUUUUUCUCAUAACCUGCAAUAAUAACGUUUAUAGAGCAAACUUUUGUCGUCAUUUUAAGAUAUAAUUCGUCUAUAUACCUGUUGAAAGAACUCAGAUCGAACUCUUUUUGUGAAAUCCAGUUAUAAUUUUUCGUUAAAAAGAGGAGCUAAAAGUUAUUAAUCUGAAUUAAACGAGUCGAGACAGUGAAUCUAGUUAAUAUUUGGUAUUUUAUUGAAGCAAUACACGUAUAAAACAUUUUAUAAUGGGUUUUUCGGCUCCAAUUUUGUUGGCACAUACUAUUGUACGUUUGGGCUCAAAUAAGCCAUACAAAGUGCUGAACUAUGAAGAAUAAUGUUUCAACAUUACAUUACUUACAAAAAAUCAGGUUGAAAGCAAUAUUUACAGUCUUUCUUGGCUCUAUUCAACAUAACUUAGUAUUACCAUCUUAUUCUGUGCCUCAACUUAAUCGUUACAAGUUUGAAUUCUUGAGGAGACUGUAUUUAAAACCUAUUACGGCCUUUCAAAACUCAAAUUUAUAAAAACGGUAUCUUCUUAAGCUUUCGUUUUUAGUUUCCAAUACUUUCCUUUCAGUAAGGCUUGAAAUUUUUGGAAGCUUCACUGCAAGUUUCCCACUUCACGAUUUUCCAAUUUCAACUUGUUAAAACUGGCAAGAUCACAGAAAAAGCCACACUUCCAUGAUAAAACCACAGAAAAUUAAAGAAAUUGGGCUGAAUGUCUCACAUUUGGUGAUUCUGGCACAUGAUCAUUUCUCAAAACUUCAAUUCAAAGAUAAAAUUGUUUGUGGCCAAACCUUCAUUUCUUAUUUGACUUUCAGGCUAUAUAUUUAAUAAUAUUUCUUAAUUGUCUUCAAAUUUUUUGAGAUUUCCCCACUUUAUGUAGUGAAAACAAAGAUAAACUUCUUAUUUUCUCAAUUUUUCAAUUAAUUUAACCUUUUGCAGCAAGGUAUUCUCUUUUUAACUGAGAAAACUAUUUCAAAAACUCAUUUCAUCUUCUUUCCUUUGUUUUCUCAAGAAAAAUUCAUAAAGAAAUGCAUUUUUUCCGCAAAAAUAAUUCAAUAUUCAGAAGUGCGCCAGCACGCGAAAGGCGCAUCGGUGAAACGCGCAAGCAAUCUCCCUCCCCCUUCGUUUCCACCCGAGGAGACCGUGCCCCUAAAAAUCGCAAAUUUUCACCAAAAAAUCUCAAAUUUUCAUGGAAAAUACCAAACUUUCCACCUAAAAAGCUCAAUUUUUCACCAAAAAAAUUUUGAAAUUAACCUAAAAAUUUCAAAUUUCCCUCUAAAAAUCGCAUUUUUUCAUUGAAAAUGUCGAUUUUUCACCUAAAAACUCCAAAUUUUCCGCCUAAAAAGCUCAAUUUUCUACCAAAAAUACCGAAUUUUUCCCUUAAAAAUGUCGAUUUUUCACCGAAAAAUCUCAAAUUUCCCCCUAAAAAUCGCCUAUUUUAACCAAAAAAAAACUCGCAUUUUCCUAAAUUUCACUGAAAAACCAAAAUUUUUCUGUAAAAAACUCAAAUUUUCACCGGAAAAAAUCUCAAAAAUCAUCUAAAUUCUCAAUUUUUUCCUAAAAUGCUUAAUUUACACCGAAAAUUUAAAAUUUCCUUUGAAAAGUACCAUUUUUCUGUAAAAAACUCAAAUUUUCACCGGAAAAAAUCUCAAAAAUCGUCAUUUUUUUUCCCAAAAUUUCCCCAUAAACAUCUGAAAAAUCGCAAUUUUUCACCAAAAAUCAAGAUUCUAUGCUGAAAAACACAAAUUUCUAUUUAAAAAUCACGAUUUUCAAGUUAAUUGACCUCAAAAUCUCAAAUUUUCCUUCUAAAAAGUCGCGAAAUUCACUUUAAAAUAUUAAAAUUUACCUAAAAUCCAAUUUUUAAGUAAUUUUUCAUUGAAAAAACUCAAUUUUCACUGAAAAUUCCCAAAUUUUCACCUAAAAAAUCACCAUUUUCUUCUUUCAGAUUUUCCCAUUCUACGACGGUUAUCCAUUAUUUCCAGUUGACGAUUCAGGUGCAAUUUGUGUACCACUUGGAGACGACGAAAAACCCGUUUUUCCACGAAUUCCAGAAGAAUUUGGAGCUUAUGUGCCGUGUGACAUAAAUGGUACUUGAAAAUUGCGAUUUUUCGCCCAUUUUUUCCCACUAAAAACUCGUUUUUUAAGCCAUUUUCUCGAUUUUUUGAAAGAGCCGCGACGUGCAUCCCCCGACGUUUUUGAUGGUUUUUCGGCGGUUUUUGUUUUGAAAAUUUAUCGAUUUUUCACGGGAAAAAUGUGAAUUUUUUAGGUCGAGUUGUACUGCCGCUCAAUGAGCUCGGAGAGCCUAUAUAUCCACGUGAUGAGCUUGGAAAUGUACUUAUGCCUUUUAUUAUUUUGGAUGAUGGAACACGAAGACGAGCGGUUUUUUGUGCGGAAGAUGGUACGGAUAUUCGCGUCGGAAUUUAUUGGAGAAAAUUGGAGAAAUUUGAGAUUUUUUAGCGAAAAUCUGCGAAAUUUCCGAUUAAAACUGUGAAAUUUGAAGAAAAUUGGCCGAAUUUCACCUAAAAACCCGCUAAUUUGCCAGAAAAUUGGUGAAAAUUGGCAAAUUUGAAUUUUUUUUGUUGAAUUUCCCGCCAUAAAAUAUUCAAAAAUCCAAAUUUUUGAAUUUCCCGCCAUAAAAUAUUCAAAAAUCCAAAUUUUUGAAUUUCCCGCCAAAAAACAUUCGAAAAUUUGAAUUUUUUGAAUUUCCCGCCAAAAAAUAUUUAAAAAUUUGAAUUUUUUAAAUUUCCCGCCUAUUUUAACGCAAUAUCCAAUGUUUGCGUACUUUUCAAGCUACAGUACCCUCCGGAUUUUUUUGGCGGGAAAUUCAAAAAAUUCAAAUUCUCGAAUAUUUUUUUGGCGCGAAAUUCAAAAAAUUUUAAUUUUUGAAUAUUUUUUGGCGCAAAAUUCAAAAAAUUUUAAUUUUUGAAUUUUUUUGGCGCGAAAUUUAAAAAAUUCAAAUUUUCGAAUAUUUUUUGGCGCGAAAUUCAAAAAUUCAAAUUUUCAAAUAUUUUUGGCGGGAAAUUCAAAAAAUUCAAAUUUUCGAAUAUUAUUUGGCGCGAAAUUCAAAAAUUCAAAUUUUCAAAUAUUUUUGGCGGGAAAUUCAAAAAAUUCAAAUUUUCGAAUAUUUUUUGGCGCGAAAUUCAAAAAUUCAAAUUUUCAAAUAUUUUUGGCGGGAAAUUCAAAAAAUUCAAAUUUUCGAAUAUUUUUGGCGGGAAAUUCAAAAAUUCAAAUUUUCAAAUAUUUUUGGCGGGAAAUUCAAAAAUUCAAAUUUUCGAAUAUUUUUGGAAUUUUCAGGUACCCCAAUUCUACCAUUUCACAAUGGAGAACACGCUCUUGAAGUUCACGAAGGAGAAGUAUUAUUUCAAUACGAAUAUCAACAAAAAAUGAUGCAUUUGGCCCAAUUUUCGGACAAAAAAACGGCCCAAAAGCCCCAGGAAUUGAUGGAUGAACAAUUUUAUCAGCAACAUUAUCAAUCUUAUCAACAAUCGACAAUUUCCACCGCAAAUUCUACAGAAAUUCCGUCGAAAAUCGGCCAAAAUUCUGCGAAAAACCCGGCAAAAUCGACGAAUUUACUGCUAAAACAGCUAACUUUUAUGAAAAAGAAGCAAGAAGCUCCGUCGCCGAGCUCAAGUCCACUUUCUGCAGCAAUUCCGGCUGAACGGCCUGCUAAACCGAAUAAGGAGAAGGAACGGGGCGAUCGGUUCUUGCCAGAGCCUUCAAGGCGUUUUAAUAG